UCCGGCUUGACGCCGGCAGUCUCGCUAGAGUCCUCGACUUUACGUUAGCAACUAGCGACAAGGGUUGCGCUCGUUAAUGGACUUAACCAAACACUUCACAGCACGAGCUGACGACAGCCAUGCAGCACCUGUUCACGUUGUACCCUUGCGGGCCUCAUUGACGUUUCCGCCAACUAAUCCGUGUAUGUCAAACCCGGGUAAGGUUCUUCGCGUUGCUUCGAAUUAAGCAACAUGCUCCACCGCUUGUGUGAGCCCCCGUCAAUUUCUUUGAGUUUUAGCCUUGCGACCGUACUCCCCAGGCGGCACACUUAGCAAUUUCUCUACGACCAAUACGACGUCAGAGCCGCAUCGGUCUAGUGUGCAUCGUUUAGGGCGUGGACUAC
rnacentral:misc_RNA from 1 species